GGCUCAGGACGAACGCUGGCGGCGUGCCUAAUACAUGCAAGUCGAGCGGACAGAUGGGAGCUUGCUCCCUGAUGUUAGCGGCGGACGGGUGAGUAACACGUGGGUAACCUGCCUGUAAGACUGGGAUAACUCCGGGAAACCGGGGCUAAUACCGGAUGCUUGUUUGAACCGCAUGGUUCAAACAUAAAAGGUGGCUUCGGCUACCACUUACAGAUGGACCCGCGGCGCAUUAGCUAGUUGGUGAGGUAAUGGCUCACCAAGGCAACGAUGCGUAGCCGACCUGAGAGGGUGAUCGGCCACACUGGGACUGAGACACGGCCCAGACUCCUACGGGAGGCAGCAGUAGGGAAUCUUCCGCAAUGGACGAAAGUCUGACGGAGCAACGCCGCGUGAGUGAUGAAGGUUUUCGGAUCGUAAAGCUCUGUUGUUAGGGAAGAACAAGUACCGUUCGAAUAGGGCGGUACCUUGACGGUACCUAACCAGAAAGCCACGGCUAACUACGUGCCAGCAGCCGCGGUAAUACGUAGGUGGCAAGCGUUGUCCGGAAUAUAUUGGGCGUAAAGGGCUCGCAGAGCGGUUUCUUAAGUCUGAUGUGAAAGCCCCCGGCUCAACCGGGGAGGGUCAUUGGAAACUGGGGAACUUGAGUGCAGAAGAGGAGAGUGGAAUUCCACGUGUAGCGGUGAAAUGCGUAGAGAUGUGGAGGAACACCAGUGGCGAAGGCGACUCUCUGGUCUGUAACUGACGCUGAGGGGCGAAAGCGUGGGGAGGGUUUAUGAUUAGAUACCCUGGUAGUCCACGCCGUAAACGAUGAGUGCUAAGUGUUAGGGGGUUUCCGCCCCUUAGUGCUGCAGCUAACGCAUUAAGCACUCCGCCUGGGGAGUACGGUCGCAAGACUGAAACUCAAAGGAAUUGACGGGGGCCCGCACAAGCGGUGGAGCAUGUGGUUUAAUUCGAAGCAACGCGAAGAACCUUACCAGGUCUUGACAUCCUCUGACAAUCCUAGAGAUAGGACGUCCCCUUCGGGGGCAGAGUGACAGGUGGUGCAUGGUUGUCGUCAGCUCGUGUCGUGAGAUGUUGGGUUAAGUCCCGCAACGAGCGCAACCCUUGAUCUUAGUUGCCAGCAUUCAGUUGGGCACUCUAAGGUGACUGCCGGUGACAAACCGGAGGAAGGUGGGGAUGACGUCAAAUCAUCAUGCCCCUUAUGACCUGGGCUACACACGUGCUACAAUGGACAGAACAAAGGGCAGCGAAACCGCGAGGUUAAGCCAAUCCCACAAAUCUGUUCUCAGUUCGGAUCGCAGUCUGCAACUCGACUGCGUGAAGCUGGAAUCGCUAGUAAUCGCGGAUCAGCAUGCCGGGGGGAAAAACCUUUCCCGGGCCUUGUACACACCGCCCGUCACACCACGAGAGUUUGUAACACCCGAAGUCGGUGAGGUAACCUUUUAGGAGCCAGCCGCCGAAGGUGGGACAGAUGAUUGGGGUGAA
rnacentral:rRNA from 1 species